ACUCCAUAAGACGCACACACAUUUCCCCUUACUUUUUAGGAGGGAAAAAGUGAGUCUUAUAGAGCAAAAAAUACGGUAUUUGUAACCUUGUUUAUGGAAAUACUUUCAAUUUGCAGGAAGCUAUUCCUGUUUCACUGAGGACAAAACUAGCCAGGAGCUGCCCUCACAUGAGAAAAGGAGAGGCGACUGCUUCAAGCAGCAGAAACACAGAGGCAGCACAUCCCAUUGUAUACGUUUAUUUCCCCCUUGUUUCUGAUAGAGAUCUCCUCUCACCCCUUCUUCCUUGGUAGGGAAGGAGGUGCCAUUUUGUGGUCCGCCUCAGGUGCCAGAAUGUCUUGGGCCAGCCCUGUUUGGCUGUGGCCUAAAACGGCUGGAAGCAGCCUGGCGAUAUUAAGCCCUUUGUGGCAGAAGCUGACCUUUAACACUGUGCAGCUUAACCUGCAGUUGCCAGCGCUCACUGGCAAAAUCGAAAACAAGGUUCUGUUGACCCAAUUCCCACCCACAUCUCCAAUCUGGCUUCAGACAAACCAAGCAUCAAUAAAUCCCUCUAAACACACUUUCCGGUGCCUCUCAGCCUGAGAUCCAAAACAUUUAUUUGGAAGCAAGUCCUGUUGAUUUCAGGGCAGCUUGAUUCAAAAUAAGUAGUACAAGGGACGUCAAGUAAGUGGGUAAGUUUAGGUUUCACCAGCAUAGUGGGUCGGAUAAUGCGUCCUCUGUUACCACUUGCAAUGCACUCUGCAGAUGUUUUGUUUGUUGUAAUGCCAAAGUUUUCCAAACUUUGCAUGUUUUGUAUCAGUCCUGUAAAGAUGGUCAAAUCCAGCCCAGCACCACCCACGUGCUAGGUGCUUGACAGCUUUCCUCUACUUUGCGUGGUUCUUUGCCUUCCUGUGCAAGCAGAAAACUUGGUAUAUCAAAUCUGUUGUGAGUCGCCAAACAUAGCUGUUGGACUGGAUUUGUUGGGGGUCAGAUGUGGCACAGAGCUGUUCUCUAAAUACAGAGUACUGUAUAGGUCCAUUUAAAUACAUAAUUUGCCUUCCUUUGUACAUCCUAUAAUUUGGGACCAAUUUAUUGAAUGUUAUCAAGUGGUUUAGGACCACAGGUCACUUUACCAGGUGACAGCUGUUAAAACUGUAUUCCCUAUUAAUUUCAAACACACACAGAGAGAGAGGGAGAGAGACAGACAAGACACUGGAUGAGUUCAAAAGGAUGUCUGUUCAGUCCUACAAUUAUAAAUUUUCAGUAAGCAUCAUCUAGUCUAUAGUUUUGCCCUUAUUAUCUUGAGUCACACUUACAAGAAAAAGCAACUAAAAUGUUAUAUUGUUUGCAAAUAAAUCAAUGUUUUCUAAGCCAAGGUUCUGUAUUCAAGAACACUGCAGCAAGGUGAAGCUUUACAUUUAGCCACACAAUUGUUCUUUUAAAUUACUUUAGAUGCCCCAAGGCUCCAAAGCACAAUCAUAAUGAAAUAUUUGCAAUAAAAUGAAAAACAAAAACAAA